rnacentral:lncRNA from 1 species
AGGGUGUGGGGUGGGUUGUGAGUAGUCCUGGCCGGACACUGCGGAGCUGCCUUUCUCCCUGGAUGUCCUCUCUACUAGCUCUCCCUGUAUCUGGAGGAGAAAAAGAUUUCUCGGUGGAAGCUGGAGCCUGAACUUCCAUGUGGUUGUUGGAGAUUCGGUGCCUAAAAAAAGACAUACCAGGAUCUUGCCUGAUCUUUCACUCUGCUUUUAAAAACUUUCCUCUUAAAGAGGGAACUUUUUUGCUUUUCUCUCUCAAAGUAUAAUAUGCUUGUUGAAACUUCAAACUUAAAUGGGAGAGAAAAAUUCUCUGAAAAUAUUUUGCCAUUUUUCCUUGUUUACACAAAGAGAGGUGGAUGUUUACAUGUUUGAUUCACAUACACAUGUAAAGCUGGUACUUUCGGUUAAAACUUUCUAGAACAUAGCAAUCAGGGGUUGUUUGAGCUUCCCACCCCGCUUUCUUUCUCUUGGUCAUAUUUUAUUAUGAGAUAAAAUUCAUUUUGUUUUCUGUAAUAAGCAUCUUGCUCAUUAUUUUAUUGCUCUCCAUUGUUCUUUAAAUGAAAUACAUCUUAAAAUUA